GACGAACGCUGGCGGCGUGCUUAACACAUGCAAGUCGAACGAUGAAGCUUAGCUUGCUAGGUGGAUUAGUGGCGAACGGGUGAGUAACACGUAGGUAAUCUGCCCUGCACUUUGGGAUAAGCCUGGGAAACUGGGUCUAAUACCGGAUAGGACACACUAUCUUUACGGUGGUGUGUGGAAAGCUUUUGCGGUGUGGGAUGAGCCUGCGGCCUAUCAGCUUGUUGGUGGGGUAAUGGCCUACCAAGGCGUCGACGGGUAGCCGGCCUGAGAGGGUGUACGGCCACAUUGGGACUGAGACACGGCCCAGACUCCUACGGGAGGCAGCAGUGGGGAAUAUUGCACAAUGGGCGAAAGCCUGAUGCAGCGACGCCGCGUGGGGGAUGAAGGCCUUCGGGUUGUAAACUCCUUUCGCUAGGGACGAAAGAG
rnacentral:rRNA from 1 species